rnacentral:rRNA from 1 species
GCGGUGGAGCAUGUGGUUUAAUUCGACGCAACGCGAAGAACCUUACCCGGGUUUGACAUCCCGAUCGUACUCUAUGGAAACAUAGGGGUCAGUUCGGCUGGAUCGGUGACAGGUGCUGCAUGGCUGUCGUCAGCUCGUGUCGUGAGAUGUUGGGUUAAGUCCCGCAACGAGCGCAACCCUUGUCCUUAGUUGCCACCAUUCAGUUGGGCACUCUAAGGAGACUGCCGGUGUUAAACCGGAGGAAGGUGGGGAUGACGUCAAGUCCUCAUGGCCCUUAUAUCCAGGGCUACACACGUGCUACAAUGGCCGGUACAAAGGGUCGCAAUACCGCGAGGUGGAGCUAAUCCCAAAAAGCCGGUCUCAGUUCGGAUUGUAGUCUGCAACUCGACUACAUGAAGUCGGAAUCGCUAGUAAUCGCAGGUCAGCAUACUGCGGUGAAUACGUUCCCGGGCCUU